rnacentral:precursor_RNA from 1 species
GGACUGUACUCCAUUGGGCAGGUAGUGCGAUAGAUUUGUCUCUCGAUUGUCUACUAGUCAGGUACUAGGUGACUC